rnacentral:rRNA from 1 species
UACGGAGGGGGCGAGCGUUGUCCGGAAUCAUUGGGCGUAAAGAGCGUGUAGGCGGCUUGGCAAGUCUUGCGUGAAAUCCUGCGGCUCAACCGCAGGCGGGCGCAGGAAACUGCCUCGCUAGAGUCCGGAAGAGGAGAGCGGAAUUCCUGGUGUAGCGGUGGAAUGCGCAGAUAUCAGGAAGAACACCCGUGGCGAAGGCGGCUCUCUGGGACGGUACUGACGCUGAGACGCGAAAGCGUGGGGAGCGAACAGG